CCAUCAUGUAUUUCUUAUCCCAUUAUGUUAAAACCACCACCCUGGCCCCUUCUUCCCUCCCUAAAUAUAGUAAAAUAUUACUUGUAUUCAAUUCUGCAGCUGCUGGCUCGGAAGUGGUGGUCUGAGCAAAUUACAAUACUUCCCCAUAGGAUUCGCUGAGACUGUCAACUAGGCAGAUCAGGGGCAGAGCCAGCACAAGUCCAACAUAGCCCUGGCCAAUCAGCAUCUCCUCAUAAAGAUAAAUUGAAUCAUUGCA